rnacentral:rRNA from 1 species
UACGUAGGGGGCAAGCGGUUGUCCGGAAUCAUUGGGCGUAAAGAGCGCGCAGGCGGCUUGGCAAGUCGGGUGUGAAAUCCCGGGGCUCAACCCCGUGACUGCAUCCGAUACUGUCAGGCUAGAGGUAGGUAGGGGAGAUCGGAAUUCCUGGUGUAGCGGUGAAAUGCGCAGAUAUCAGGAGGAACACCGGUGGCGAAGGCGGAUCUCUGGGCCAUUACUGACGCUGAGGAGCGAAAGCGUGGGGAGCGAACAGG